GAGCUUGAGAAAAAAUCAACUCAACUACAAGAGAAAUCUGAAGAAGCUAUAACGGAAACAGACAAAAAUAAUGCUGCUAAGGAAGUCAUCAAGUCUCUAAUGACGCAGGUAAAGGGCAACACUGCAAGAGCACCUCAGGAUGGUUCUGCAGAAAAUCUGAUCCAUUCGACGAUGACAGUACCUUGAUCCUUGUUUCAAGAAAGAGUAAACCAUCCAGCUAGGAUUUCAUCAUACUCCUAAUCCUUUUGCAUUUUUCUGCUGAUCACUGAAGAUUUAUGUUGGG
rnacentral:misc_RNA from 1 species